AGCGAACGCUGGCGGCAGGCUUAACACAUGCAAGUCGAACGGGCUUCUUCGGAAGUCAGUGGCAGACGGGUGAGUAACACGUGGGAACGUGCCCUUCGGUUCGGAAUAACUCAGGGAAACUUGAGCUAAUACCGGAUACGCCCUUUUGGGGAAAGGUUGACUGCCGCAGGAUCGGCCCGCGUCUGAUUAGCUUGUUGGUGGGGUAACGGCCUACCAAGGCGACGAUCAGUAGCUGGUCUGAGAGGAUGAUCAGACACACUGGGACUGAGACACGGCCCAGACUCCUACGGGAGGCAGCAGUGGGGAAUAUUGGACAAUGGGCGCAAUCCUGAACCAGCCAUGCCGCGUGAGUGAUGAAGGCCUUAGGGUUGUAAAGCUCUUUUGUCCGGGACGAUAAUGACGGUACCGGAAGAAUAAGCCCCGGCUAACUUCGUG
rnacentral:rRNA from 1 species